AUUGAACGCUGGCGGAAUGCUUUACACAUGCAAGUCGAGCGGCAGCGCGGGGGCAACCCUGGCGGCGAGCGGCGAACGGGUGAGUAACAUAUCGGAACGUACCCAGUCGUGGGGGAUAACUAUCCGAAAGGAUAGCUAAUACCGCAUACGUCCUGAGGGAGAAAGCGGGGGAUCGCAAGGCCUCGCGCGAUUGGAGCGGCCGAUAUCGGAUUAGCUAGUUGGUGGGGUAAAGGCUCACCAAGGCGACGAUCCGUAGCGGGUCUGAGAGGACGACCCGCCACACUGGAACUGAGACACGGUCCAGACUCCUACGGGAGGCAGCAGUGGGGAAUUUUGGACAAUGGGGGCGAACCCUCGAUCCAGCCAUUCCGCGUGAGUGAAGAAGGCCUC
rnacentral:rRNA from 1 species